UACGUAGGGUGCAAGCGUUAUCCGGAAUUAUUGGGCGUAAAGAGCUCGUAGGCGGUUUGUCGCGUCUGCUGUGAAAACUGGAGGCUCAACCUCCAGCCUGCAGUGGGUACGGGCAAACUAGAGUGCGGUAGGGGAGAUUGGAAUUCCUGGUGUAGCGGUGGAAUGCGCAGAUAUCAGGAGGAACACCGAUGGCGAAGGCAGAUCUCUGGGCCGUAACUGACGCUGAGGAGCGAAAGCGUGGGUAGCAAACAGG
rnacentral:rRNA from 1 species